GACGAACGCUGGCGGCGUGCUUAACACAUGCAAGUCGAGCGGUAAGGCCCUUUCGGGGGUACACGAGCGGCGAACGGGUGAGUAACACGUGGGUGACCUGCCCUCAGCUCUGGGAUAAGCCUGGGAAACCGGGUCUAAUACUGGAUAUGACUCCAUGACGCAUGUUGUGGGGUGGAAAGCCUUGUGACGGCUGAGGAUGGGCCCGCGGCCUAUCAGCUUGU
rnacentral:rRNA from 1 species